rnacentral:rRNA from 1 species
CGUCAAAUCAUCAUGCCCCUUAUGAUCCGGGCUACACACGUGCUACAAUGGGCUGUACAGAGGGAAGCGAAGGAGUGAUCUGGAGCAAAUCCCAAAAAGCAGCUCUCAGUUCGGAUUGCAGGCUGCAACUCGCCUGCAUGAAGCCGGAAUCGCUAGUAAUCGCAGAUCAGCAUGCUGCGGUGAAUACGUUCCCGGGCCUU